ensembl:lncRNA
CUAACAGCCCUCUUUCCACAACCUGCCCUUCUGGAGGCUGAAAACAGACAUCCAUCUGGAUACAUGGAGAACACCUGCACCAGGCAGGAAAACUAGAGGCACGAGAAAGACGCGGGGCGGAGUCACAGCUGCCCUUAGAAGGUGACCCCGGCAAGAGGCAUCCACAGUGAUCUCUCAUGCCAGGAGGCGGAUUCUUUACCAGCUGAGCCACAAGGGAAGCCCAGGCUGGCGUGGGUAGCCUAUCCCUUCUGCAGCAGAUCUUCCUGACCCAGGAGUCGAACCGGGGUCUCCUGCAUUGCAGGUGGAUGUUUUACCGACUGAGCUAGGAGGGAAGCCAGACAAUAAAAGCGGCAGACAUCUGGAGGUAGAGAUAACAGGUGAUGAGCAAGUACCCAUCUGAAGCAUCGCCUGUCCCUCAGCUCAGGUCAGACCUCUCCUCCCUCAGUGCCUGUUUCCUGGCCUGCAAAACCAGGACAACGUUAAAUCACUUCACUUAUUCCCUCCAUGAAUGAGUAUAGAGUCAGGCCCAGAGACUGGGGCCAAGAGCUAGGAAAACGAAAUACUACAGCCCUUCAACUAAAAGCACCUGUGCCUCCCUAUUGAGCCGUCUUCUGAGCUUGCAGAGGGCCUUCACGUCUGACCCCACCCAGCCCGGGAGGGAGGAAACCUCCAGAUGAAAACUCCAAGGAUGCGGGGCUUCAGUGCUCUGUCCACAGCUCCAUAACCACUCAUGGCUGGACCGGGCUAUGGAAUUGGGUCUCCAAGGCAUGUAGUUAUAGUGAGAAGACGGCCAUCUGUGAGGAAGUGGGUUCUCACCAGACACCCAACCUGCGGCACCUUGACCGUGGACUUCCAUCCUGCUCAUCGGAACCUGUGUCCUUGGAGAACUGAGCUUCCAUGCGUGAAAUCCCACUCUCCUAAGAUGACAUCCCCGAGAGACCAUGUGGCAAGCUCUGGAUGGCAGCCCCCGCCACGCCCAUGCUUCAGAGAGAGACCUGAUGAAAGCCAGAGUAGUGUCUGAUACCUGCAACUUAAUCUGCCUGGGGCAGAGUCCACUCACCCUGCUUAGAUAACUGAUCAAACCUGAUGCUGAUCCAUUUCAGAGACCGCAUCCCAGCCUUUUCACUGAUUCUCUGUGCUCCCCAGAACUCUUCCAGUAAAUGCCCUUUGCUUUGCCAAAAUUGCUUUCUGUUGCUUGCAACCAGAAAACCCCAACCGAAAUAAAAGUUAAGUUGCAAAUUACAAGGAUAUGUUCUAUUUAAUCCCAUGUUUGAAGAACUCACUUUUCAGAUGAUCAACAGUGUAGAAAAGAAUGAUGAUUUCCAUAGGAUGGAAAGAUGUAAUUAGGAAUUUUUUUUUUUUGGUCUUUAGGAGUGGCUUUUUUGUAUUGAAAAGAAUAUUCAGGAGCUACUUUGUACUUAAAGUUAAUACUCAGGUAAUUCAAAGCCUUGGUUUUCUUGAAGUUUUUAAGUUCAAUUUAGAAAUAAGUUCUAUUUAUAAAUCUUUCAAAUUUUCACAAAUGAUUUUAAGAACACUUUCAUAAUUUAAUUGAAUUCCUUUAAAUAUUUUUAGCUGUACUGAUAAAGCCAGCACACUCAAUUUCCUUUUUAAAGUAAGUCAGUGGCUGGCAAACCGAACAACUUUUCCAAGUACCUAAGAAAUUCUUAGAAAUCUAAUAAAAUUUAUCGAGAUGAUGAUUAAACUCUUCUACAUAUUCCUAUGUUGUUUAAAGACUAAAGCUGUCUUGGACAUUUCAGCUUAAAAUCUAGAUGAACUGCUCAGUCCUCUAAUAAGCCAAAUUCUCCAGAUUUUUUGCACUAGUCACUGCUGGGGCCCAGCUUUGCACAGACGAGGCCUGACAGCAUCUCCACCUGCAGUUCCUUGCUUUUCACCCUUGUCUUGCUCCUCAGUUCCAAGGCCAAGGACCCCUUGUGAGCCACUCACUGUUCCUGAACACACGCACCGACCCGGAAGUGUAAGGGAGUUGAGGUCAUGCGGGAGAACCCAGAAGCACUGGUUUCUUGCUCUGGUCUCCUCCACUGUCCCUUGAGCAGACCAUUCCCCGGUGUAUUCCACACGGUUCCUCAGAGGCGCUUGAAGGAUGGGGCCUCAGUGACCCACUGCAAUGACCAACUCAAUUGAGAGUGAGUGGAAGUCGCUGUCAUGUCUGACUCUUUGUGACCCCAAGGACUGUAGCCCGUCAGGCACCCCUGUCCCUGGGAUUCUCCAGGCAAGAAUACUGC